rnacentral:rRNA from 1 species
CAGCCGCCGCGGUAAUACGUAGGUCCCGAGCGUUGUCCGGAUUUAUUGGGCGUAAAGCGAGCGCAGGCGGUUAGAUAAGUCUGAAGUUAAAGGCUGUGGCUUAACCAUAGUACGCUUUGGAAACUGUUUAACUUGAGUGCAAGAGGGGAGAGUGGAACUCCAUGUGUAGCGGUGAAAUGCGUAGAUAUAUGGAGGAACACCGGUGGCGAAAGCGGCUCUCUGGCUUGUAACUGACGCUGAGGCUCGGAAGCGUGGGGAGCAAACAGGAUUAGAUACCCGUGUAGUCCCUGUCUCUUAUGCA